rnacentral:rRNA from 1 species
UUGAACGCUGGCGGCAGGCCUAACACAUGCAAGUCGAGCGGAUGAAGGGAGCUUGCUCCUGGAUUCAGCGGCGGACGGGUGAGUAAUGCCUAGGAAUCUGCCUGGUAGUGGGGGAUAACGUCCGGAAACGGGCGCUAAUACCGCAUACGUCCUGAGGGAGAAAGUGGGGGAUCUUCGGACCUCACGCUAUCAGAUGAGCCUAGGUCGGAUUAGCUAGUUGGUGGGGUAAAGGCCUACCAAGGCGACGAUCCGUAACUGUCUGAGAGGAUGAUCAGUCACACUGGAACUGAGACACGGUCCAGACUCCUACGGGAGGCAGCAGUGGGGAAUAUUGGACAAUGGGCGAAAGCCUGAUCCAGCCAUGCCGCGUGUGUGAAGAAGGUCUUCGGAUUGUAAAGCACUUUAAGUUGGGAGGAAGGGCAGUAAGUUAAUACCUUGCUGUUUUGACGUUACCAACAGAAUAAGCACCGGCUAACUUCGUG